GACGAGGGGUCCAAGCGUUGUUCGGAAUCAUUGGGCGUAAAGCGGGUGUAGGUGGCUUUGUAAGUCAGGAGUGAAAUCCCCGAGCUUAACUUGGGAGUGCUUUUGAAACUGCAGAGCUUGAAUGUGGGAGAGGAUCGUGGAAUUCCAGGUGUAGUGGUGAAAUACGUAGAUAUCUGGAGGAACACCGGUGGCGAAGGCGGCGAUCUGGCCCAACAUUGACACUGAGACCCGAAAGCGUGGGGACUCAAACAGGACGUU
rnacentral:rRNA from 1 species